GGCAAAAACCGCUCUUGAAGAGGUCUAGAGGUUUUGGGGUGCUGGGACCCCCCAGAUCGCAACGCGGGCUUGUCUGCAAGAAUUCAACUCAAAUCUUCUUCCAGCCAGAGAAAUAGUUUAUUAGAGAUAAAGCAUAUAGGCCUGACUCCCAAGGAACCCAAAUAUCAGUAACGCCCACAGGGACGAGCGGGCAUGAGAGUCUCAGCGUGUUGGGCAUGAGAAAUUCUCAGCCUCUGAAUGGGGGCUAAGGUGGAUCUUAAGCCAGGUGACUUCCAUAAGGACCAUACACGCCUGCCCCAUGUAAUCCCACAUACCACAACUAAAAGACAAAUAGGAAAAAGAAGCUCUGUCAUCAACUGGCUGAGCGUAAGUGGAAAAAUGAUCUUUGCACUGAGGAUAGAAUAACAAUGAUGAACAAAGUUCAAAAUUCUGAUAAGAAUUGUUGUAGGGGCAAUAUACUGACCCCUCUCCCUAUGCAAAUUAGGCUUUUUUUUCCCCCUUAAAAGAUAUUGAGACCUUCCUCCACAUUUGGUUGGUUCUGGGGACUAAAAGGCUUAGAUUGUUGAGGUCACUUCCUUACUGCCUGAGUACCAACCAGCCAGAGGAGCUCCCUGUAUGCUCUAUUGUUUGGAUGAUGGAUCACGAUGCAUAACUCAGACAAAAUAAUUUUGCUCAGAUGAAUCAAGUUGACUAACCAUGUUGAAUAUCCUUCUCUGCUAUGGAGUCCUCCAAGUCCAGCUGCAAGACAGAAGUCAGGAUGAC